UUAAGUUAAUUAUAUAAGAUAUAUCAUUUUUUUUAAAAUUAUACGCGCAUUCAUCUCAAUAAACUGUAAAGCCCCAUAAUUUUUCAUUUGAGGUUGAUGCAUAUAAUUAAGAGAUGAUAUAUUUUAUGUGGUUAACUUAACU
rfam:Solanum tuberosum cultivar DM 1-3 516 R44 scf00055_41, whole genome shotgun sequence.